rnacentral:rRNA from 1 species
GACGAACGCUGGCGGCGUGCCUAAUACAUGCAAGUAGAACGCUGAAGGGAGAGCUUGCUCUUCUGGAUGAGUUGCGAACGGGUGAGUAACGCGUAGGUAACCUGCCUGGUAGCGGGGGAUAACUAUUGGAAACGAUAGCUAAUACCGCAUAAGAGUAGAUGUUGCAUGACAUUUGCUUAAAAGGUGCAAUUGCAUCACUACCAGAUGGACCUGCGUUGUAUUAGCUAGUUGGUGGGGUAACGGCUCACCAAGGCGACGAUACAUAGCCGACCUGAGAGGGUGAUCGGCCACACUGGGACUGAGACACGGCCCAGACUCCUACGGGAGGCAGCAGUAGGGAAUCUUCGGCAAUGGACGGAAGUCUGACCGAGCAACGCCGCGUGAGUGAAGAAGGUUUUCGGAUCGUAAAGCUCUGUUGUAAGAGAAGAACGAGUGUGAGAGUGGAAAGUUCACACUGUGACG